UUAUUAUGAGUUCCAAGCACACCGUUGGUCCCCGCAUGGUUGAUACUGUCCAGAGUCGGUGCUCGUAAGACGCACAACAUGUGGGCUGGGUACCAAUCGAGUGGACCUCUUUGUCUAGUAUCGUCUGGGGAAAGAUGAUGAUCGGGUACUUACCUCUGGUAUAUGUGAUAUACCGCGAGUCGUGGAUGACACGGAAGUUUCCCUUUUCUCGUGGGUCCAGCGUACUACCUCUGCAGAGUGUAAACUAUUCGAAUAGCCAUGUCCACGGUCAAGGACAGUUGGGUGGUGCUACUUAAACUACGUCAUGUGUUUCCGCAUAAACCAAGAGUGUGUGUGUGUGGUGUUAAAAGGUGUUGUUAUGAUAAUCACAAUAAUAUGAUCAAGUUCGGAGACUUGACAUAUAGGGUAAACCCGGACGGUUUAGCCCUCAUUAAUACCUUGAGGUUAUGACAAGUCCGAUGACUUGGCAUAUAGGGUGAACCCGGUGUGUUCAACCCUUGUUAGAUAUGUUG
rnacentral:lncRNA from 1 species